rnacentral:rRNA from 1 species
AUUGAACGCUGGCGGCAUGCCCUACACAUGCAAGUCGAACGGUAACAGGCCGCAAGGUGCUGACGAGUGGCGAACGGGUGCGUAAUGCAUCGGAACGUGCCCAGUCGUGGGGGAUAACUACUCGAAAGAGUAGCUAAUACCGCAUACGAUCUAAGGAUGAAAGCGGGGGACAGUAAGGCCUCGCGCGAUUGGAGCGGCCGAUGUCAGAUUAGGUAGUUGGUGGGGUAAAGGCUCACCAAGCCAACGAUCUGUAGCUGGUCUGAGAGGACGACCAGCCACACUGGAACUGAGACACGGCCCAGACUCCUACGGGGGGCAGCAGUGGGGAAUUUUGGACAAUGGGCGCAAGCCUGAUCCAGCAAUGCCGCGUGCAGGAAGAAGGCCUUCGGGUUGUAAACUGCUUUUGUACGGAACGAAACGGCGCUGGUUAAUACCCGGGGCUAAUGACGGUACCGUAAGAAUAAGCACCGGCUAACUACGUG